rnacentral:rRNA from 1 species
UUGAACGCUGGCGGCAUGCUUUACACAUGCAAGUCGAACGGCAGCGCGGGCUUCGGCCUGGCGGCGAGUGGCGAACGGGUGAGUAAUGCAUCGGAACGUGCCCAGUAGUGGGGGAUAGCCCGGCGAAAGCCGGAUUAAUACCGCAUACGACCUGAGGGUGAAAGCGGGGGACCGAAAGGCCUCGCGCUAUUGGAGCGGCCGAUGUCCGAUUAGCUAGUUGGUGGGGUAAAGGCUUACCAAGGCGACGAUCCGUAGCUGGUCUGAGAGGACGACCAGCCACACUGGGACUGAGACACGGCCCAGACUCCUACGGGAGGCAGCAGUGGGGAAUUUUGGACAAAGGGGGCAACCCUGAUCCAGCCAUGCCGCGUGCGGGAAGAAGGCCUUCGGGUUGUAAACCGCUUUUGUUCGGGAAGAAAUCCUCUGGGCUAAUACCCCGGGGGGAUGACGGUACCGGAAGAAUAAGCACCGGCUAACUACGUG